rnacentral:rRNA from 1 species
UGUACCUACGGGACGCAGCAGUGAGGAAUAUUGGUCAAUGGCCGAGAGGCUGAACCAGCCAAGUCGCGUGAGGGAUGACGGCCCUACGGGUUGUAAACCUCUUUUGCCGGGGAGCAAAGAGCGGGACGCGUCCCGCCUCGAGAGUACCCGGAGAAAAAGCAUCGGCUAACUCCGUGCCAGCAGCCGCGGUAAUACGGAGGAUGCGAGCGUUAUCCGGAUUUAUUGGGUUUAAAGGGUGCGUAGGCGGAAUGCCAAGUCAGCGGUAAAAUCGCGGGGCUCAACCUCGCUCCGCCGUUGAAACUGGC